UACGUAGGUGGCAAGCGUUGUUCGGAAUUAUUGGGCGUAAAGGGCGCGUAGGCGGUUUGUUAAGUCAGCUGUGAAAGCCCGGGGCUCAACCCCGGAGGGUCAGCUGAUACUGGCAGACUAGAGUACAGAAGAGGUAACUGGAAUUCCCGGUGUAGCGGUGAAAUUCGUAGAUAUCGGGAGGAACACCAGUGGCGAAGGCGGCGACCUGGGCCAAUAUUGACGCUGAGGUGCGAAAGCGUGGGGAGCAAACAGG
rnacentral:rRNA from 1 species